rnacentral:tRNA from 1 species
GAAAGUAUAGCUCAGUGGUAGAACACAUGCUUAGCGUGCACAAGGUCCUGGGUUCAACCCCCAGUAUUUCCA